rnacentral:rRNA from 1 species
UACGAAGGGGGCGAGCGUUGUUCGGAAUUACUGGGCGUAAAGGGCGCGCAGGCGGCUCUGAAAGUCAGAUGUGAAAGCCCCGGGCUUAACCUGGGAAUUGCAUUUGAUACUCUGGAGCUUGAGUACGGGAGAGGAGAGUGGAAUUCCCAGUGUAGAGGUGAAAUUCGUAGAUAUUGGGAAGAACACCGGUGGCGAAGGCGGCUCUCUGGACCGUAACUGACGCUGAGGCGCGAAAGCGUGGGGAGCAACCAGG